rnacentral:rRNA from 1 species
AUUGAACGCUGGCGGCAGGCUUAACACAUGCAAGUCGAGCGGAGAUGAGGUGCUUGCACCUUAUCUUAGCGGCGGACGGGUGAGUAAUGCUUAGGAAUCUGCCUAUUAGUGGGGGACAACAUUCCGAAAGGAAUGCUAAUACCGCAUACGUCCUACGGGAGAAAGCAGGGGAUCUUCGGACCUUGCGCUAAUAAAUGAGCCUAAGUCGGAUUAGCUAGUUGGUGGGGUAAAGGCCUACCAAGGCGACGAUCUGUAGCGGGUCUGAGAGGAUGAUACGCCACACUGGGACUGGGACACGGCCCAGACUCCUACGGGAGGCAGCAGUGGGGAAUAUUGGACAAUGGGGGGAACCCUGAUCCAGCCAUGCCGCGUGUGUGAAGAAGGCCUUAUGGUUGUAAAGCACUUUAAGCGAGGAGGAGGCUACUGAGACUAAUACUCUUGGAUAGUGGACGUUACUCGCAGAAUAAGCACCGGCUAACUCUGUGCCAGCAGCCGCCGUAACAC